rnacentral:rRNA from 1 species
GCAACCCUAGGUGAGGCGUGAUUACCCGCUGAAUUUAAGCAUA